UCCAAAAAUAAUCAUCAUAUAUAUAUUUAUUAUAUAGUGAAACAAUAUAUGCUUAAUUUAUAAAGUGGUGUAAUUAUUUUUUACAAUUUUAUUUGUUAGUCGUAUAUAUUUUGUAUUUAUAUAAAUUUUUGCUGUAGUCUUUGAAGGACCUUUAUGAGACAGCGCACCCUUUAGUUCAAAGUUGUGGAAUAGCAUAGUUGUUAUGGUAAGUUUAGAAUAUUCUCAUGAAAUGGUUUCCAUCAAAACCUUUAUCACUCUAUCAUUACUAUUAAAGAAGAUAUGAUAAUAUUGAGUAACUAUUAAAGCUUUUAUUAUAUGUAACAAUGUCAGCAGUGCGUUUAGGUUUCUACGGAAAAAAAAAAAACAGGCUAGCCUUGUAUUAGCUUUGUGGCUUUUGUAAACCGCUGCAGGUUACAUCUGUGUUUAGCCUAUAGAGUCUAUAAAUUGCUUAACUCUUAAAUUUACUGCUAUUGUUAUUUACUGUUAUUUAUUAUUUAGUUUAAUUUUUUUGUUGGCUUCUUGUUUCGGGCACUAUUUCAUCCGUCAAGAUCGUCAAACUGCUUGACCACUUGAGACCUAUAAUGAGGCCUUUUCAAUAUUACCGUUGUGAAUAUUACUUUGUAACACAUACUGUAGUAUGAAACAUGCUUUAUGUACAACUUGUGGUGUAGUGGUUAAAGUUCUGGUCUGGAAACCUACAAGGCACGAUCCAUGAGCUAAUCGUCAUUGCAUGAUAAACUGAAUAAUUCAUUUUUUGUUCACUUGAAAAUUGGGUUUUCAGUGCCUUCAGUGCAGAGUCAUAAUAAAACAUGCAGUUUAAACAUAUGACUUCUUUUGAGGAGUUCAAGUCUUUAUUGCGGGGGUCAAACUUCCUUAUAAGUCACACUGUGGAUUGAGGCCUUGUUAACUACCAUUUAUUUGCAUUUGUUUUCAGGGUACAAUAUUCUGCCUCCCCCAUCAACAAACAAUGGGUCAAAUUAAGACCCCUGUCCAGUGUGUGGAAAAUCCUAAAGGAUCGGGUGGAGUGAUAAUAAAUGACCGGGAGACGUUCACCAUGAACAAACAACACUUGGUGACAGUUCUUCUCUCUAGAGUUGAAAAACUCUGUCAGACCAGUUCUGUUGUAACGGCAAGUGAAGACAAGAAAGAGAAAUGCCUCCCAAGACCUUAACAUCUCACCCUGUAUACUUCAAAUAAAGGCAUUUUAC